ensembl:snRNA U2 U2 spliceosomal RNA
GUCGUUUCUCGGCCUUUUGGCUAAGAUCAAGUGUAGUAUCAGUGAAGCUAAAGUCAGAAGAGAAUUUUUGUUAACGACAACAU